AUUUAACAUGAACAGUGAUGCUUUACUCCAAACUUCAAAACAAGUGAUUCAUUUUCUGGAAUAAGAUAAGGGGAGUCAGUACUCACAUUACCAGGCUAAUAACCUUCACCCAGCUUAUGGAUUGCAACCCAUUCCGACUGGACCAACUCUGGGACAACCAUGUGUACCGGGACCACCACCAACAUAUCUGGAGGCUGCAGGUCAGUUUCCUGCUCCCUUCAGCCAGGCUGCAUAUGACGGAUGUCAGAUCAUGUACGAUCUACAACCACCGGUUCAACCAGCGGUUCCCACAGACCACACCUCACCUCAACCGCCAUACAACCCCGAUUACGUGAAAUCCCCAGAGACCAGUUAAACCACCACACACACACAAAAAAUGGCCAGUUAUCAACACUGGAUUGUGGAGGGUUUCGCAUU